GACGAACGCUGGCGGCGUGCCUAAUACAUGCAAGUAGAACGCUGAAGGAGGAGCUUGCUUCUCUGGAUGAGUUGCGAACGGGUGAGUAACGCGUAGGUAACCUGCCUGGUAGCGGGGGAUAACUAUUGGAAACGAUAGCUAAUAACGCAUAAUAGUAGAUGUUGCAUGACAUUUGCUUAAAAGGUGCAAUUGCAUCACUACCAGAUGGACUUGCGUUGUAUUAGCUAGUUGGUGGGGUAACGGCUCACCAAGGCGACGAUACAUAGCCGACCUGAGAGGGUGAUCGGCCACACUGGGACUGAGACACGGCCCAGACUCCUACGGGAGGCAGCAGUAGGGAAUCUUCGGCAAUGGACGGAAGUCUGACCGAGCAACGCCGCGUGAGUGAAGAAGGUUUUCGGAUCGUAAAGCUCUGUUGUAAGAGAAGAACGAGUGUGAGAGUGGAAAGUUCACACUGUGACGGUAUCUUACCAGAAAGGGACGGCUAACUACGUG
rnacentral:rRNA from 1 species